UAAGGAAACCCUGUCUCUGAAAAGGAUGGGGGAGGGGAAGGUACGUCAGGUUAUCCUAACAGGGUACUCACAGCUAAAGCACAGUCAAGGAGUAGUAACCAGCGAAGCCUUCUGGUAGAACCCCCCAGGCGACAUCACACCGAAUAACUUACUGAAGACAAACACACUCCACAGAAUGCACUCUCGCUUCGCUUCCGCAGAAGGCUGCGGCUUCAUGUACUCGCUCAGCAGAGAAGAGGAACCUGAAGACUCGUGGCUCCCAGGAUAUCAGCCCUCAGAACGGUGAGGUGCUCGGUUUGAAAACGCGGAGUCUGGAUCUCCCAGAGAAGAGCCUGCAUGAAAGGCUCAAUCCCACGGCCUGCUUCCCUUUGUCACCAGCCCUGUAUCCCGAGCACACACCGUCUCUGCCGGCCACAGCAGAGCCGAGCGAUGGCUCCUGGCCGCUCCGCUGCGGCUGUCUACCUUCACGUGCCGCAAGUGACAACGGAACAAAUAGCUCACUCAAGAGGAGCGAGGGCGAUCUGCAGGAGAGAGAAGCGGAAGGUUAGACAAGGUCCUUCCUCGCGAGGAGACUGCAGCGCCGCGUCAGACAGCCCUCUGCUGCCUCUGGAUGCUGGAAGUCGCAGCAGUCUCUCCUUCCCUUCCCCUUUUCCCUGGAUCCACCUCCACUUCACCUCCCCUCAGAAAGAGCAGGCCUUCCAGGGACACCAACCAAAUACAGCACAACAAGCUACAAUAAGACCAGAUACAUAUUCCGACUUCCAAGCUGGACAAGGCAACCCAGUAGGAGGAAAAAAGUCCCAAAGGAUGUAAAGCUUUCAGCUGCUGCUCCAGAGGAUGCCUGUCUGCUGCCCCCAUGAUGAUCACACACUGACUAACCCUCUGAAACCAUAAGCAAGGCCCCAAUAAAAUACUUCCGUUUGUAAGAGUUGCCUUGCUCAUGGUGUCUGUUCAUAUCGAUAAAAUAGUCACUAGACAGUGACACAAUCGAGAGUCUCAAUAAAGAAUUGUUUGGAUUGGGUUUGCCUGUGCAUAUCAUACACCCAAGGGAUAUAUUUUUUUUUUCCUUUUGAUUUUUUGAGGCAGGGUUUCUCUGUAUAGCCUUGGCUGUCCUGGAUUCACUUUGCAGACCACGCUGGCCUCGAACUCACAGAGAUUCACCUGCCUCUGCCUCCUGUGUGCCGGGACUAAAGGUGUGUGCCGCCCUGCCUGGCUAUAGCUGAGGAGGGAUCUUCUUAAGUGUGUCCAUCGAAGAUUGGAAGAUUGAAGUUCUGGAUGUGGAUGGCACCGUUUUGUGGUCUGGACCCUGCGCUUGGUGAGAAGGAGAGCCAGUUAAGCUCCAGCAAGCGCACAAGCAAACAUUCUCUCCUGGCUCCUGAAUGUGGAUGUGGCCCGCUGUUUUCAGUUCCCGCCUUGACGCCCCUGCAGUGACCGUCUGUGACCCACAGCUGUGAGAUGAAUGGAAAUUGCUUUUGUCAGGAUAUUUGAUCACAGCCUCAGGAAAUGGAGCUAAGGCAAAAACACUGGGGGGUGGAAAGAUUGCUCAUUCCUUAAGAGCGGUGGGUGCUCUUCCAGAAGAAGCAGGUUCAAUUCCACACACACACACACACACACACACACACACACACACACACACACGGCUAAUAAUCUCCAGAGGACUGAACAUCCUCUUCUGGCCUCCUCAGGCACUGUGGACCACGGUGCACUGACAGGCAUGCAGGCAAAUCACCCAUAACAUAAAGUAAAAACAACAUUUAAAAGACAGCAACGUUAGGCUGGUUUAUUCUUUAGGGCAGACCAUCAGCUCCAGAAACCCCACCAACACAAGAAAACAUCGGAUGUUAGUGUAGAGAGAGAAGGUACAGUACAGUCCUUUCCUUAUCCAUCAUGAGGGACACAAACCUAGGACAAGACAGAUAAUGAGGGAAAGCCGAACAGACUUAGUCAGUCAAAGUUUUAUGUACCACAUGAGCAAAUGAAGGCUCAGCCAGGCAUGGUGGCACAUGCCUGUAAUCCAAGCACUUAGGAGAGUAAGGCCGGAAGACUGUUAAAGCCAAGGUCAGGCUAGGCUCCAAAGUAAUGACUUGUCUCAAAAACAAGUGACAACAGCAGCAACAUAACUGACACACAACAACCGUCUACUUUUUCGAUCAAGAUUUGGCAUCGAGAGACCAAAAGGUUCAAAAUCGGUGGCUAUUAUUAAAGUUUAAGGCCUGAACUGAGGCUAGGUGGGUGGAGAGGUCCAGCAAUGCCCUGAGGGGAAGAACCCGCCCUACUGCAUUCUUUCCCCACCCACUAGAGAUACUGUUGCUAGGAAACCGGCCCAUUUUCCCCCCCCCCCCAGGGAGAGACACCGUAUCAUUAAUGGUUUGGGGACCUUCCUAUAGCCAAUCAAUUCAAAACACAACAUCCAUUUUGUGUUUCGACCAAUAGAUGCUUGCUAAGCAGAAACAGCCCCCCGCCUUGGGCACACUGGGAGGGACUGGGAUCUUUAAAUCACCCAACUAACCUGAGCACAAGGCUCUUGGCUCUCACCACUUUGGUGGUGGUGGGGUGCAGGCCCAGGCUGCAGCUUGUAAUGAUUUGUAAUAAAAAGAUUCUCAUGUGUUUUGCAACAGA